AGAAAGAAUGUUGGAACUGCUAAUUCCACACCUCCAUAUUUAAUACUAUGGCUUUCUU
rnacentral:tRNA from 1 species